AUGACGAUCAGACGAGUGCAGUUCACCUUCAUCUGCUCAUCACUUUAGCAAAAGAAAGAUGAUCCAUCUGGUACAGCAGACUCGAGACUGUAGCUCGUAUCUGGCAGCAGACAAUACGCAGCCUAAGUCCUCUUCAGGACUAGACAAGUUCUCCGGGUUCUCAGGAGCGAUGGUCCCGGCUGACCAGCAGGGGGCGCUGCUCGCACAGUCGAUCGACCACUGCCGGUCCUACGCAACACGAGCCGUCAUUCAAAAGCAGUGAUCCUCGUUCUGCUGGUUUUCCUGAACCUCUAGGUCCUCGGUUGUGUUGACGUUCCGGUCGUUCCAGGUUCAGAUUUCCUCAGGAGCAGAGGCUUUGGUCCAGGGGUUCACCACGGAGUCCGCCAGCCCAGGAGAGGAGCUCAUAACUGUUACUGGGAUGGAAACCUAGGUCCCCUGUCCCACUAGUCAGAGCUUCUCUCACUAGUCAUCUCUCACUAGUCGCCUGUCUGAGCUUCUCUCACUAGUCGUUUCUCACUAGUCUUCUCUCACUAGUCAGAGCUUCUCUUACUGGUCUUCUCUCACUAGUUUUCUCUCACUAGUCUUCUCUCACUAGUCAGAGCUUCUCUAACUAAUCUGAACUUGUGUAGCCUGUUGAGGAUCAGCCCAGUAGGGUCAGCCCCGGUCCCAUUCCUCCCAGUCCCAUUCCUCCCAGUGCCAUUCCUCCCAGUGCCAUUCCUCCCAGUGUGAUACCAUAGCAGCACCCAGACAGCAGGAUGGGACAGAGCGGGGCAUCAUUGAGAAAGGAGAUAUAGUUCAAAUAGUUGGAAACCAUAGGACAAUUUGGGGAAUAAAUGUGUUAAAGGUAUCAAGGACAUCAGAAAGCAGGAUCCCAGCCCAGCAAAACUACUUCCACUAAUCUUCUAAUGUUCAUCAACAUAUGUGGUGUAAUCUAAAAUCAUAAAUGUAAAUAAUCUUCCCUUGCUGUGAAAAUAGUGGUGAUAAAGUUUUAGUUCACCA